CAUGUCACAAGUCAAGAUUUCUUGUACGAAGUCAUCCUAUACAUGCACAUACUAAUGAAAAUAGAUAGUAGUGAUCUUGUACUUAACGUAGUGUGAGGAACAUAAACUCUGCUCUACGAGGAAGGAUCCUACGUUAGCUGGAGACCCUCCAGGACCUUUGCGCAGCCGCGCCGCCGCUCCCAAAGGCUGGGGGCGUCCUCUUCCACGGCGGGCCGUCUCACCACCGGCGCCGGCACCGGCAGCGGUGGGUCAAGCUCAAGCGGGCGCGGCGCACGGGCACCCCGCGCGCUCCCUGAGGACGACGACGAGUCACUCGCCACGUCCCUGACCUUGGAGUAUGCGCGCGACUUCCUCCCCGUCGACCGCCACCCGAACAGCCCCAUCAGUAGCCCCGCCAGGCUGCCGCACGGGAGGACCGACGACGCCGGUCCCCUCGAGGAGGCCGGGCCGCGCGCCCUCGGGCAUCUCCGUGCCCCCUUGACCUGCCCCAUGUAGCCGAUCCUCGGCGACGCCGGCGCCGGCGCGACCCCGGUGUCGCCACGGUCACCGACGGCCAUGCCCUUCUGCCAUGCCGACGGGGACAGCAGGAUCGGCGAGCGAGCGGGCAGCUUCUUGGCAGCGUCGCCCCUUGCCGGCGCUGGUGGAGCGGCCUUGAUCGUGACGAGCCAUGCUGGCUUCGGUGCCUCCACGCGGUGCCGCCGGUGACGUGCCGCCAUGGAGCUAGAACUGGCCAGACCAAUCGGCGCCCAGAGCUCGCUGUCGUGCUCUCCGGUCGCCGGGGCGCGCGCUAAGUGAACUCGCGUCUGAUGUGUGCGAGGGGUUAACGGAUU
rnacentral:rRNA from 1 species